ensembl:rRNA 5S_rRNA 5S ribosomal RNA
GCUUGUGGCCACACUGGCCUGAGUACGCCUGAUCUCGUCCGAUCUCGGAAGCUAAGCAGGGUCGGGCCUGGUUAGUACUUGGAUGGGAGACCGCCUGGGAAUACCAGGUGCUGUAAGCU